rnacentral:rRNA from 1 species
UACGGAGGGUGCAAACGUUGCUCGGAAUCAUUGGGCGUAAAGCGCACGUAAACGGUCCAGCAAGUCGAAUGUGAAAGCCCUCGGCUUAACCGAAGAAGUGCAUUCGAAACUACUGGACUUGAAUACUGAAGAGGAUCGCGGAAUUCCCGGUGUAGAGGUGAAAUUCGUAGAUAUCGGGAGGAACACCAGUGGCGAAGGCGGCGAUCUGGGCAGAUAUUGACGCUGAGGUGCGAAAGCGUGGGGAGCAAACAGG